rnacentral:rRNA from 1 species
UACAUAGGUCCCAAGCGUUGUUCGGAUUUACUGGGCGUAAAGGGAGCGUAGGUGGCAUUCUAAGUCUGAUGUGAAAGCUCUGAGCUUAACUCAGAAAUGGCAUUAGAUACUAGUUUGCUUGAGGAUUGGAGGGGAGAUUGGAAUUCUUGGUGUAGCAGUGAAAUGCGUAGAUAUCAAGAGGAACACCAGUGGCGAAGGCGAAUCUCUGGACAAUUCCUGACACUGAUGCUCGAAAGCUAGGGGAGCAAACGGG